rnacentral:rRNA from 1 species
CCUACGGGGGCUGCAGUGAGGAAUAUUGGGCAAUGCCCGCAAGGGUGACCCAGCAACGCCGCGUGGAGGAUGAAGGCCGUAAGGUUGUAAACUCCUGUUAGAGGAGAAGAAUAGUACCGAUUGGAUCGGUAUUUGACUGUACCCUCAGAGAAAGCCCCGGCUAACUACGUGCCAGCAGCCGCGGUAAUACGUAGGGGGCAAGCGUUUUCCGGAUGUACAGGGUGCGCAGGGCGCGCAGGAAGGAUAGCAAGAAAUCCUACAGCUUAACUGUAGAACUGCCUUUGAUACUGGUAUUCUUGAGUUCGGGAGAGAGAGACGGAAUUCCAGGUGUAGUGGUGAAAUACGUAGAUAUCUGGAAGAACACCAGUUGCGAAGGCGGUCUCUUGGUCCGAUACUGACGCUGAGGCGCGAAAGCGUGGGGAGCAAACAGGAUUAGAUACCCUGGUAGUC